UACGUAGGUGGCAAGCGUUGUCCGGAUUUAUUGGGUUUAAAGGGUGCGUAGGCGGCUUAUUAAGUCAGUGGUGAAAUAUCGCAGCUUAACUGUGAGGGUGCCAUUGAUACUGAUGAGCUUGAGUACAGAUGAGGUAGGCGGAAUUGACGGUGUAGCGGUGAAAUGCAUAGAUAUCGUCAAGAACACCUAUAGCGAAGGCAGCUUACUAAGCUGUAACUGACGCUGAGGCACGAAAGUGUGGGGAUCAAACAGG
rnacentral:rRNA from 1 species